GACGAACGCUGGCGGCGUGCUUAACACAUGCAAGUCGAACGGAAAGGCCCUGCUUUUGUGGGGUGCUCGAGUGGCGAACGGGUGAGUAACACGUGAGUAACCUGCCCUUGACUUUGGGAUAACUUCAGGAAACUGGGGCUAAUACCGGAUAGGAGCUCCUGCUGCAUGGUGGGGGUUGGAAAGUUUCGGCGGUUGGGGCUGGACUCGCGGCUUAUCAGCUUGUUGGUGGGGUAGUGGCUUACCAAGGCUUUGACGGGUAGCCGGCCUGAGAGCGUGACCGGCCACCUUGGGACUGCGAGACGGCCCAGACUCCUACGGGAGGCAGCAGUGGGGAAUAUUGCACAAUGGGCGGGAGCCUGAUGCAGCAACGCCCCGUGCGGGAUGACGGCCUUCGGGUUGUAAACCGCUUUCGCCUGUGACGAAGCGGGAGUGACGGUAAUGGGUAAAGAAGCACCGGCUAACUACGUG
rnacentral:rRNA from 1 species